rnacentral:rRNA from 1 species
AGCGAACGCUGGCGGCAGGCCUAACACAUGCAAGUCGAACGGACCCUUCGGGGUUAGUGGCGGACGGGUGAGUAACACGUGGGAACGUGCCUUUAGGUUCGGAAUAGCUCCUGGAAACGGGUGGUAAUGCCGAAUGUGCCCUUCGGGGGAAAGAUUUAUCGCCUUUAGAGCGGCCCGCGUCUGAUUAGCUAGUUGGUGGGGUAAUGGCCCACCAAGGCUACGAUCAGCAGCUGGUCUGAGAGGAUGACCAGCCACAUUGGGACUGAGACACGGCCCAAACUCCUACGGGAGGCAGCAGUGGGGAAUCUUGCGCAAUGGGCGAAAGCCUGACGCAGCCAUGCCGCGUGGAUGAUGAAGGUCUUAGGAUUGUAAAAUCCUUUCACCGGUGAAGAUAAUGACUGUAGCCGGAGAAGAAGCCCCGGCUAACUUCGUGCCAGCAGCCGCGGUAAGAC